rnacentral:rRNA from 1 species
GCGAACGCUGGCGGCAGGCCUAAUACAUGCAAGUCGAACGCACCUUCGGGUGAGUGGCGGACGGGUGAGUAACGCGUGGGAACGUGCCCUUUGGUACGGAACAACUGAGGGAAACUUCAGCUAAUACCGUAUGUGCCCUUCGGGGGAAAGAUUUAUCGCCAUUGGAGCGGCCCGCGUUGGAUUAGCUAGUUGGUGGGGUAAAAGCCUACCAAGGCUACGAUCCAUAGCUGGUCUGAGAGGAUGAUCAGCCACACUGGGACUGAGACACGGCCCAGACUCCUACGGGAGGCAGCAGUAGGGAAUCUUGCGCAAUGGGCGAAAGCCUGACGCAGCCAUGCCGCGUGAAUGAUGAAGGUCUUAGGAUUGUAAAAUUCUUUCACCGGGGAAGAUAAUGACGGUACCCGGAGAAGAAGCCCCGGCUAACUUCGU